AGAGUUUGAUCCUGGCUCAGGAUGAACGCUGGCGGCGUGCUUAACACAUGCAAGUCGAACGGGGAUGUUAUGUGAGCGGAGUUAGCUUGCUAAUGACAAUCUUUUAGCAUCCUAGUGGCGGACGGGUGAGUAACGCGUGGGUAACCUGCCAUAUACAGGGGGAUAACACUUAGAAAUAGGUGCUAAUACCGCAUAAGCGCACAGCAUCGCAUGAUGCAGUGUGAAAAGCCUCGACGGUAUAUGAUGGACCCGCGUCUGAUUAGCUAGUUGGCGGGGUAACGGCCCACCAAGGCAGCGAUCAGUAGCCGGCCUGAGAGGGUGAACGGCCACAUUGGGACUGAGACACGGCCCAAACUCCUACGGGAGGCAGCAGUGGGGAAUAUUGGACAAUGGGGGGAACCCUGAUCCAGCGACGCCGCGUGAGUGAAGAAGUAUUUCGGUAUGUAAAGCUCUAUCAGCAGGGAAGAAAGAAAUGACGGUACCUGAGUAAGAAGCCCCGGCUAACUACGUGCCAGCAGCCGCGGUAAUACGUAGGGGGCAGGCGUUAUCCGGAUUUACUGGGUGUAAAGGGAGCGUAGACGGUAAUGCAAGUCUGAAGUGAAAUGCGGGGGCUCAACCCCUGAACUGCUUUGGAAACUGUAAGACUGGAGUGCAGGAGAGGUAAGUGGAAUUCCUAGUGUAGCGGUGAAAUGCGUAGAUAUUAGGAGGAACACCAGUGGCGAAGGCGGCUUACUGGACUGUAACUGACGUUGAGGCUCGAAAGCGUGGGGAGCAAACAGGAUAUAGAUACCCUGGUAGUCCACGCCGUAAACGAUGAUUACUAGGUGUUGGUGAGUAUGGACUCAUCGGUGCCGCAGCAAACGCAAUAAGUAAUCCACCUGGGGGGUAGGUUCGCAAGAAUGAAACUCAAAGGAAUUGACGGGGACCCGCACAAGCGGUGGAGCAUGUGGUUUAAUUUGAAGCAACGCGAAGAACCUUACCAAGUCUUGACAUCCCGAUGGCGCAUCCAUAACCGGAUGUUCUCUUCGGAGCAUCGGAGACAGGUGGUGCAUGGUUGUCGUCAGCUCGUGUCGUGAGAUGUUGGGUUAAGUCCCGCAACGAGCGCAACCCUUAUCUUUAGUAGCCAGCACAGAAGGUGGGCACUCUAGAGAGACUGCCGGGGAUAACCCGGAGGAAGGUGGGGAUGACGUCAAAUCAUCAUGCCCCUUAUGAUUUGGGCUACACACGUGCUACAAUGGCGUAAACAAAGGGAAGCAGCCCUGUGAAGGUGAGCAAAUCCCAAAAAUAACGUCCCAGUUCGGAUUGUAGUCUGCAACCCGACUACAUGAAGCUGGAAUCGCUAGUAAUCGCGGAUCAGAAUGCCGCGGUGAAUACGUUCCCGGGUCUUGCACACACCGCCCGUCA
rnacentral:rRNA from 1 species